AGGCAGUCCCCUACCCAGAGAGUACAGCGGAUGCCAGCAGCCCUGUCCCUAAGCGGACCGUCCAUCUCCGCCUCUGAAGCAAAUGGGCGGUAUCCCCACUUUACAAGCAAGGAGAGAGAGUUGUUUCCGAGAGACUUCCACAGUGCAGCAAGUUCCGGGGAAGUUGGCUUCACCUGACAGAUGAGGCAUCGUGCCUUGUAUCUCACAAAUGCUCAAAAAAUGCUGACGGGCGAGUGAAUGGCGCAGUCAGCGAGCUCAAGUUGAAAUGGCAGGCCUUCAAGUGUUAGUUGGGGGCUGUUGAGAACUUUGGAGAUGAAGAAAUCGAGAUUUACAGAGAUUAAGUAACUUGAUGACAGUCAUAAAACUAGUAAGUGAUGAAGCUGGGGUCUGAAACCACGUCUAACUCCGACGUCUCUGCUUUUCCCAUGGUAACACCCUGCCUCUCUGAUGAAGGAAAAUGAAGUCAAAACAACCCUGAGAUUGUAAGUCUGAGUCUAGGAAUACCUGAUGAUUGUGGACAGCAGCCAGGAACCGGGAAAGGGGGACCUUUCUGAAGAGGAAGACUUCCGGAUUUUGGUUUUUGUUUUAUUUAUGAAUCUCCAAAUUUUAAAAAUCUGUAUGCCGGUGGGGUGAUAUCCACGUGGGCGUAUCCUAUAGACAGUUGGAAAUCUCUGGGGAGAGGGGAGGAGGACAGGGACGGACAUGCAUUGAGAAGUCAUCUGUGGACAGGUGGCAGGUGUCUGAAAAUGUAGGUGUUGAAGUCAAACACAAGGGGGAUGGACAGAGUGUUUUGGGAGUCCCACAGCUAAUGGCAGUGGGGCCAGGGAAAAGCAAGGGGCAGCAGGGCCACCUACACACACAGAUGGUCACAGGCACACGUGGUCGCUCUGGGCAUAGUGCCUCCUAGUGCCAGCUGAGAUAAUCCCCCUUCAGUUCUGUUCUGGAAACAUACUCAUUUUUCAAGGCACGACUCAAAUUUCCACAACCCCUCUUAGACUAUACACUUGUUCAACUCUAACACCCAUAUGGUUGGCAUCACGUUUGGCACCUAAUAGGUGCUAAAUGAAUAUUUGUUGAGCUGAAUUAAACAAUUAAAGAGAGAAAAGCUAUAUGGAGAUGGUAGUUAAUUAUUUUUUUCUGAGCCAUAUCUUCUUAAUUUGUGAGAUGAAUAAUUAUU